CCUGAACGCUGGCGGCGUGGCUAAGACAUGCAAGUCGUACGGUGUAGCAAUACACAGUGGCGAACGGGUGAGUAAUGAAUCGCUAAUGUACCCCGGACUCUGGGAUAGCCGGCCGAAAGGCCGGGUAAUACCAGAUGAUAUAUCUUUAUCGCAUGAUAGAGAUCUCAAAGGUCCGCCGGUCUGGGAGCAGGCGAUUUUGUAUCAGCUAGUUGGUGAGGUAACGGCUCACCAAGGCGAUGACGCAUAGCCGGACUGAGAGGUUGGCCGGCCACAUUGGGACUGAGACACUGCCCAGACUCCUACGGGGGCUGCAGUAACGAAUCUUCCGCAAUGCACGAAAGUGUGACGGAGCGACGCCGCGUGGGACGAAGCCCCUUCGGGGGUGUAAACCACUGUCAGGGGAUAGAAAGUUCUGAUCAUCCCCAGAGGAAGGCACGGCUAACUCUGUGCCAACAGCCGCCGCAGUAAG
rnacentral:rRNA from 1 species